rnacentral:rRNA from 1 species
CCUACGGGUGGCAGCAGUAGGGAAUUUUGCGCAAUGUGCGAAAGCCUGACGCAGCAACGCCGCGUGAUCGAGACGCCCUUCGGGGUGUAAAGAUCUGUCAGUGGGGACGAAACUUGACGGUACCCACAGAGGAAGCAUCGGCUAACUCCGUGCCAGCAGCCGCGGUAAUACGGAGGAUGCGCGCGUUAUCCGGAUUUAUUGGGUUUAAAGGGUGCGUAGGCGGAGUGUCAAGUCAGCGGUAAAAUUUCGGGGCUCAACCCCGUCGUGCCGUUGAAACUGACGCCCUUGAGUGAGUGAGAAGUAAGCGGAAUGCGUGGUGUAGCGGUGAAAUGCAUAGAUAGCACGCAGAACGCCGAUUGCGAAGGCAGCUUACCGGCGCUCAACUGACGCUGAGGCACGAAAGUGCGGGUAUCGAACAGGAUUAGAUACCCCAGUAGUC